rnacentral:rRNA from 1 species
GUACGCUGGCGGCACGCCUAACACAUGCAAGUCNAACGAAGUAGCAAUACUUAGUGGCAGACGGGUGAGUAAUAUGUGGGUAUCUGCCCUUUGGCCUGGAAUAACACGAGGAAACUUGUGCUAAUACUGGAUAAGUCUUUACGGAGAAAGCUUUAUGCACCAUUGGAUGAGCCCGCACUUGAUUAGUUUGUUGGUAGGGUAAUGGCCUACCAAGACUUUGAUCAAUAGCUGAUUUGAGAGGAUGAUCAGCCACAUUGGGACUGAGACACGGCCCAAACUCCUACGGGAGGCAGCAGUGGGGAAUCUUGCACAAUGGAGGAAACUCUGAUGCAGCGAUGCCGCGUGAGUGAAGAAGGCCUUUGGGUUGUAAAGCUCUUUCGUCGGGGAAGAAAAUGACUGUACCCGAAUAAGAAGGUCCGGCUAACUUCGUGCCAGCAGCCGCGGUAAUACGAAGGGACCUAGCGUAGUUCGGAAUUACUGGGCUUAAAGAGUUCGUAGGUGGUUGAAAAAGUUGGUGGUGAAAUCCCAGAGCUUAACUCUGGAACUGCCAUCAAAACUUUUCAGCUAGAGUUUGAUAGAGGAAAGCAGAAUUUCUAGUGUAGAGGUGAAAUUCGUAGAUAUUAGAAAGAAUACCAAUUGCGAAGGCAGCUUUCUGGAUCAAUACUGACACUGAGGAACGAAAGCAUGGGUAGCGAAGAGGAUUAGAUACCCUCGUAGUCCAUGCCGUAAACGAUGUGUGUUAGACGUUGGAAAUUUAUUUUCAGUGUCGCAGCGAAAGCGAUAAACACACCGCCUGGGGAGUACGACCGCAAGGUUAAAACUCAAUGAAUUGACGGGGAACCGCACAAGUAG